AUAGCUAGUAUUGGCAUUAAGUAAAUCGUAUUUUGAAAUUUAACUGUUUUGUUUACUCAUCCAUGUUUAAUAAGUCUAUCAUUAAAAUGUUAACCUAACCCCACUACAACUGCAUCCACAUAUGCAUCCUGGAUGAAUAGAUUUUUUUAAAUGAAUUUUAUGUACUAAUUUUUGAUUACAGUAAUUUUUAAAAAAUUUUAUAACGAUGUGAUUCUUCUCUGUUUUUCUGUUUAUUUUUCUUAUAUUUAGUAUUCAGAUGGUUUAUCCUUGGAGUCAUUUGCUGUCAUUAUUGUGCAGUUACUUGGCCUUCAACUGGGAUUAACUUAUGACAGUAGUACUGACGCCUGCCUUUGUUCAGGCGAUGUUUGCAUAAUGACGCCAAAAGCAUUCCACGUUGGAGGUGUAAAGGAUUUUAGCACCUGUAGCUUGGAUGACUUUAAAUAUAUUGUUUCACAGUCUGACCUUAAAUGUCUUCAGAAUCGCACUGUUGAUAUACCAGUUUACAAAGCACCAACGAGAAUAUGUGGCAAUGGAAUGUUGGAACCUGGUGAACAAUGUGAUUGCGGAACUAGUAAGAAUUGUACACAUAAACGAUGCUGUGAUCCUAGAACAUGUUCACUGAAAAAAGGUAUGGUAUGUGGUUCUGGAAACUGCUGCACAAAAGAUUGCAAGGUAAGAAGCAACCUGUAUUUAAUAAUAGCUCAGCAUUAAAUUUCUUUAAACACUUGUUUUAAGGAGCUGAAAACAGGUCUAUACAAUUGUUAUUGAUUGAAUUAGUCCACCAAAAAUAUGUGUUGUAAAUCAAUGUAAUCCAAUUUUGGCAUCGAGUUUUCUUUGUUGUGUUAAUAAGGUCAUAUCAGUGUAGGAUGUAUUUUAAGCCAAUCACUUUUGAGAUAUAUAAAAAGAGCAGAGUAAGCACAGAAGCAAGAAAACACAAACGGAGAACGACUGAUGCCACAUGGGGAUCAUCAGGGAAUCAAAGAAGAGAAUUGAAAGUGUUACCACAAAACAUGGAUUCAAGCCCCCUGCCACAAAGCCAAUACUGAGACAGGGGUGAGGUAAGCAGCAAGAGGGCUUUACUGUAUACCAGUAUACAAGAGACAGAGGAGAAUGGGCUCCUCCAAAAUCUGUCUGUCUGCUGGGUUUUAUAGGUUUAGGGCUUAGGCUUAAAGAAUCUGGAGAAUGGCAGUUCCCCUUUGAAGGGGUGCAUGUUGACCGCAUUUCAGACAUGUUGACCUUCUGUGGAUAUUCUUUAGAGGUCCCCUGAUACCAUCCUGGUUUCAGCCACAAGAUGGGCCCUCAUUGUCUGGUCAUCUUGUCCCAGACCUUAUUGAUCAUUGUUCUGCUUGUUCAAGAGGAACAUAGGUUAAUUUUAAACUUUGUAGAAUCAUGUUGAAUGGGAGAAGGAGGGAGGAAACAAACCACAAAUCACAAAAUGACCGGGUAUGCAAAAGCAAACUAUGCAAACCAUGUGGAAACAAUGCUACAAUACCCAGGAUGUUAGGCCCCUACAAUCUGUUUCUCAUGCUGCCCCUUUCAAAAGAGAUAAGGAUUUUCUCUCAGAGAAGACUUCCCCUAGAGCCAGUGCCCUGAAAUUUGUACUUCUAGCCUCCUAAACUGUGAGGAAAUCUCUGUUUGUAAAAGUCACUCACUUGAGGUAUUUCUGCACUAAAAA